AAGACCAUCCGCUCGAACAGACGAGUCUCUUUCAGUCAUCUCCAUUUACUGCUACUUGCUUGCAGUCCGAAUUUUCUCGUUCUACUCAUAAUAAGACACGUCUUGAAAAGUCCUGCUCAAUACAGACUUCCCGACGAAGCUUUGGCCUAACCGAAACCCAUAACCACGGUCUUUAUAAUCGUGGAUUUUUGUUUUCCCUACCUGCCCAUUCUAGGUUAAUGUUUUUUGUCUCGUUCGCAAUGUCCAGUCAUUCAAACAAUUAGUUUAUAGCUCUUGAUUACUCCCU